GCUGGAAUUGCUAGUAAUGGCAGGUCAGCAUACUGCCGUGAAUACGUUCCCGGGCCUUGUACACACCGCCCGUCACACCAUGGGAGUCGAUAACGCCCGAAGUCAGUGACCCAACCGUUAAGGAGGGAGCUGCCGAAGGCGGGAUUGAUAACUGGGGUGAAGUCGUAACAAGGUACC
rnacentral:rRNA from 1 species